AUUGAACGCUGGCGGCAGGCCUAACACAUGCAAGUCGAACGAGUGGCGGACGGGUGAGUAAUGUCUGGGAAACUGCCCGAUGGAGGGGGAUAACUACUGGAAACGGUAGCUAAUACCGCAUACCAUCGGAUGUGCCCAGGUGGUAUUAGCUAGUUGGUGGAUUAACGGCUCACCUAGGCGACGAUCCCUAACUGGUCUGCGAGGAUGACCUGCCACACUGGAACUGAGAAACGGUCCAGACUCCUACGGGAGGCAGCAGUGGGGAAUUUUGCACAAUGGGCGCAAGCCUGAUGCAGCCAUGCCACGUGUAUGAAGAAGGCUUUCGGGUUGUAAAGUACUUUAAGCUGGGAGGCGAUACUCGCAGAAUAAGCACCGGCUAACUCCGUGCCAGCAGCCGCGGUAAUUC
rnacentral:rRNA from 1 species